UUCCCAUCCCACUUUGAAGGGAAAGGGUAAUAAAAAGAGUUAAACUGACUGUGGCAAGACUCUGGAUGAGAAGCCCUGAGUAGGAUAGCAAGGAAUAGCGGCAGGAUCCUGAAUACCCCCAGAGAAGUCUGUCCUAAGCCUAGAGAACUUUUCUGAACAGUAAGGAAACUGAGACUGAAGCAUCACAAAGCCAACAGCUUUACAUUGUCAAGGCUAUCUUCACAACUAAGGAUGUCUCAAACUUCAUUUGUUUCAAGUGAAAAAUUAGAUUCUGGAUGACAACAGAAAAAUAUGAAGGAAAUCCCUAAAUCCUCAGAAUUUACAGGAGUCUGGGAGCACUGGAGGAAGUUUCAGAAGACUGUAAGAACGCUAAUGUGCUUUUUUUUUUAAGGGAAAACCAGGAUGACCCUGAUAAUUAUAGAGCUGUCAUCCUGACAUUGAUCCUGGACAAGAUCACGGAGUGACUGAUACAGAACUUGGUUAUGUUACAUUCCUCUAGUUCAUAUUAAUUAAUACAA